rnacentral:rRNA from 2 species
GAUGAACGCUGGCGGCGCGCCUAACACAUGCAAGUCGAACGGUUAAAGCACCUUUUAGGUGUGUAUAAAGUGGCGAACGGCUGAGUAACACGUGGGCAACCUGCCCUCCUCUUGGGGAUAGCCUCGGGAAACCGAGGAUAAUACCCGAUACUUCAAUGUGGCCGCAUGACGACAUUGAGAAAGCUUUUGCGGAGAAGGAUGGGCCCGCGGCCUGUUAGCUUGUUGGUGGGGUAGAGGCCUACCAAGGCAAUGAUGGGUAGCUGGGUUGAGAGACCGACCAGCCAGAUUGGGACUGAGACACGGCCCAGACUCCUACGGGAGGCAGCAGUGGGGAAUCUUGCACAAUGGGCGAAAGCCUGAUGCAGCGACGCCGCGUGCGGGAAGAAGGCCUUCGGGUUGUAAACCGCUUUCAGCAGGGACGAGGCGAUAAGUGACGGUACCUGCAGAAGAAGCCCCGGCUAACUACGUGCCAGCAGCCGCGGUAAUACGUAGGGGGCAAGCGUUAUCCGGAUUCAUUGGGCGUAAAGCGCUCGUAGGCGGUCUGUUAGGUCGGGAGUUAAAUCCGGAGGCUCAACCUCCGUCCGCUCCCGAUACCGGCAGACUUGAGUUUGGUAGGGGAAGGUGGAAUUCCUAGUGUAGCGGUGGAAUGCGCAGAUAUUAGGAAGAACACCAGUGGCGAAGGCGGCCUUCUGGGCCAUAACUGACGCUGAGGAGCGAAAGCUAGGGGAGCAAACAGGAUUAGAUACCCUGGUAGUCCUAGCUGUAAACGAUGGACACUAGGUGUGGGAGAAUACGUCUUCCGUGCCGCAGCUAACGCAUUAAGUGUCCCGCCUGGGGAGUACGGCCGCAAGGCUAAAACUCAAAGGAAUUGACGGGGACCCGCACAAGCAGCGGAGCAUGUGGUUUAAUUCGAAGCAACGCGAAGAACCUUACCAGGGCUUGACAUGUAGGUGAAGCGGCGGAAACGUCGUGGCCGAAAGGAGCCUACA